rnacentral:tRNA from 1 species
GCCCUGAUGGUGGAAUUGGUAGACACGUGGGACUCAAAAUCCUAUUCCGUCAAUGGAGUGCGAGUUCGAUUCUCGCUUGGGGCACCA